GAUGAACGCUGGCGGCGUGCCUAAUACAUGCAAGUCGAGCGAACGGACGAGAAGCUUGCUUCUCUGAUGUUAGCGGCGGACGGGUGAGUAACACGUGGAUAACCUACCUAUAAGACUGGGAUAACUUCGGGAAACCGGAGCUAAUACCGGAUGAUAUUUUGAACCGCAUGGUUCAAAAGUGAAAGACGGUCUUGCUGUCACUUAUAGAUGGAUCCGCGCUGCAUUAGCUAGUUGGUAAGGUAACGGCUUACCAAGGCAACGAUGCAUAGCCGACCUGAGAGGGUGAUCGGCCACACUGGAACUGAGACACGGUCCAGACUCCUACGGGAGGCAGCAGUAGGGAAUCUUCCGCAAUGGGCGAAAGCCUGACGGAGCAACGCCGCGUGAGUGAUGAAGGUCUUCGGAUCGUAAAACUCUGUUAUUAGGGAAGAACAUAUGUGUAAGUAACUGUGCACAUCUUGACGGUACCUAAUCAGAAAGCCACGGCUAACUACGUGCCAGCAGCCGCGGUAAUACGUAGGUGGCAAGCGUUAUCCGGAAUUAUUGGGCGUAAAGCGCGCGUANGCGGUUUUUUAAGUCUGAUGUGAAAGCCCACGGGCUCACCGUGGAGGGUCAUUGGAAACUGGAAAACUUGAGUGCAGAAGAGGAAAGUGGAAUUCCAUGUGUAGCGGUGAAAUGCGCAGAGAUAUGGAGGAACACCAGUGGCGAAGGCGACUUUCUGGUCUGUAACUGACGCUGAUGUGCGAAAGCGUGGGGAUCAAACAGGAUUAGAUACCCUGGUAGUCCACGCCGUAAACGAUGAGUGCUAAGUGUUAGGGGGUUUCCGCCCCUUAGUGCUGCAGCUAACGCAUUAAGCACUCCGCCUGGGGAGUACGACCGCAAGGUUGAAACUCAAAGGAAUUGACGGGGACCCGCACAAGCGGUGGAGCAUGUGGUUUAAUUCGAAAGCACGCGAAGAACCUUACCAAAUCUUGACAUCCUUUGACAACUCUAGAGAUAGAGCCUUCCCCUUCGGGGGACAAAGUGACAGGUGGUGCAUGGUUGUCGUCAGCUCGUGUCGUGAGAUGUUGGGUUAAGUCCCGCAACGAGCGCAACCCUUAAGCUUAGUUGCCAUCAUUAAGUUGGGCACUCUAAGUUGACUGCCGGUGACAAACCGGAGGAAGGUGGGGAUGACGUCAAAUCAUCAUGCCCCUUAUGAUUUGGGCUACACACGUGCUACAAUGGACAAUACAAAGGGCAGCGAAACCGCGAGGUCAAGCAAAUCCCAUAAAGUUGUUCUCAGUUCGGAUUGUAGUCUGCAACUCGACUACAUGAAGCUGGAAUCGCUAGUAAUCGUAGAUCAGCAUGCUACGGCGAAUGCGUCCCCGGGUCU
rnacentral:rRNA from 1 species